ACUUAAAUAAUUUAAUAAUAAAAUAUUGAUUUGUGGUAUCAAAAAUAUGAGCUAUUCAUUUUAAGUC
rnacentral:tRNA from 1 species